UACAGAGGUCUCAAGCGUUGUUCGGAUUUAUUGGGCGUAAAGAGCUCGUAGGCGGUUUGGCAAGUCGGGUGUGAAAAACUUCAGGCUCAACCUGGAGAUGCCACCCGAGACUGCUAUGACUUGAGUCUGGUAGGGGAGCACGGAAUUCCUGGUGUAGCGGUGAAAUGCGCAGAUAUCAGGAGGAACACCGGUGGCGAAGGCGGUGCUCUGGGCCAGUACUGACGCUGAGGAGCGAAAGCCAGGGGAGCAAACAGG
rnacentral:rRNA from 1 species